rnacentral:rRNA from 1 species
GGACUACCCGGGUAUCUAAUCCCGUUCGCUACCCUGGCUUUCGCGCCUCAACGUCAGUGGGAGUCCAGGACCUUGCUUUCGCCAUCGGAGUUCCUGCCGAUCUCAACGCAUUUCACCGCUCCACCGGCAGUUCCAGGUCCCUCUCCUCCACUCGAGGACGGCCAUCUCGGCGCCACUUCCCCGGUUGAGCCGGGGGAUUUCAGCGACCGAUGCGCCGACCCGUCUACGCGCCCUUUAAGCCCAGUGAUUCCGAAUAACGUUCGCACGGUUCGUCUUACCGCGGCUGCUGGCAC